AAAGCAUCCAAUUCAAAACGCGAGGUUUUUGUGUAGUGUGUAUAACCAACUACGGCUGCAGAAUAUACAGAGUCUCUGGUGUUGAUGGAAAGGAUUGUUUACCUAGAGGCAGCUUGGUAUGACAUGUUGCAAAGCAUUCUGUUUGAUUAACAGAUAAUAGAUACUGCAGACACUGAGCAAAUUAUACUUACCUAGCAGUUGCAGUAUUUCAGCCAUGGAGUCAUAAUCUUAGAAUAAAGUUCUCGGUGUUUAGGUGAAUCUGAGGAAAGUCCAAAAUAUUGCAACUGUUCCAGUUGUUUAAAUUGUAAGCAAAGACGUAUGCUGGCUUAAACACAUCAACAAGACAACAAAACACUCAUUUCAUAUGCUGGCUCCAGUGAUGUUAAUUCAGCUGCAGAUACUUCUGUUCUCAAAUAUUUAUCGACAGUACCUGUGUCAGAUGUACUGGCAAACAUGUUAUAUCUUCAUUUUUGUCGAGCCCGCUUGCGGAAGCAAAGAUAGAUGUCCAAAUGGCUGUUCUGUGUAUGUGCGUGUGUGCGUCCGUCCGUCCGUCAGGAUUUGUUUGUCCUGACCAUAACUUUGAUAUGCGUGGAGCAAUCUCGUUUAUUUUUGGCAUGAAUGUUAACCUCAGUGAGACGGAGUGUCAUGCGCAAACUGCAGGUUCCUAUCUCAAAGGUCAAGGUCACACUUGGAGGUCAAAGGUUAAAUUCAAUAAUGACUGUCCGGAGCAUUAAUUUUCUUCUUCAUGCAUGGAGGGAUUUUGAUGUAACUUGGCACAAAUGUUCACAACCAUGUGACAGAGUGUCAUGCACAAGAACCAGGACCCUAGGUCUAACUAUAAGGUCAAGGUCAAACUUAGAGAUCAAAGUUCCUGAGCAUUUCUUUUUUAUGCAUAGAGGAAUUUUGAUGUAACUUGGCAUAAUUGUUCACCAUCAUGAGAUGGAGUGUCAUGUGCAAGAACCUAGAAUUACUUCCCUUUGUUGUCACUAUAAAUAGCUUAUAUUGAACUUUUUUAUUACUGGUCGUAGGGAAAAAUCAAGACCACUUUUCUGUAGUACAAUAUGCAUGUUACAUCCAAUUUUGAGGUGUAUUUAGACCUAUCUCUACUGGUAAGGAUUUUUGUGUGGACUUAGAUUUUUUUAAAGAUUUACUUCCCUUUGUUGUUACUAUGAAUACCGGUAACGUAUUUUGUAACUUUUUGCAAUCAUUUUUUAUUUGGCAUAAAUGUUUGCCUUAAUGAGACAGGGUGUCAUGUGCAACUCCUAGUCCUUUUGACAGCUGGCGGGCUUGACAUGUUGACCGUGGGCAUCUAGUGUUAAAACUUUCCUAUAAACUGACUCUAGUACAACCAAGUACUAUAUGAUAAGAAUGUGUUAUGGCGGAUCUCGCCUCAUAAACAUACAUAUUCAUAUAGACAAACACACCAAGAACAGGAGUCUGCAGCAAACCUGCUUUAUAAAUGAAGGGACAUUAGUGACUGGAUUCAUUUCCCUUAUUCAGACUGUCCUUUGAUCUUUAUAGAUAAAUCUGUUUUAGUUGGACAUUCAUUUCUUUUGUGGUUUUACAACUUGACAUUUUAGUUGUUUCUUAGAGUUAAUGCUUUUACUUUUGAAAAUAUGAAAACAAUAUUAUUUUAAUGUGAUUUUUGCAUAUAAUGUAUGUUUGUUUGAUGAAAUGUUUAUCUUUGAAAUUUAUUUGUAAGUUAAAGAAAUGUUCAUAUAUAUAUAUAUUUGAACCCACUCGCUAAGCUCAAUAGUGAAAGGGCAGAUCUACAGAUGACGGGGUUGCGAGUUCGAUCCCCAGGCGGGCCAAAUGUUCUCCGUGACUAUUUAAUAAAAGACAUUGUGUCUGUAAUCAUUCCUCCUCCAAUCAUGUUCGGAAGUUGGCAGUUACUUGCAAAGAACAGGUUUGUACUGGUACAGCUAGAAUCCAAAAGCACUGGUUAAUUUAUUGCCCACCGUUACAUAACUGAAAUAUUGUUGAAAAAUGGAGUUAAACCCGAAAAAAAUUAAAAACAUAUUGGAAUACUGCGAAAUCAGCUCAUUGUGUGGGCAUGAAUUUUCGUGGUUUUAACCAGAAGGAUUAUUUCAUGGGGAUUUAAUGAAUUCAUGAAUUUCAUGUUUUGACAACUGGAAUUUUAUUUGUUCAUAGGAAUUAAUUUUGUGCUUUUAAUCAACCACAAAUCCACUAAAAUUAGUCCUGCACAAAAAUUAAUGAUUUUACAGAAUUUAUCAUAAUUAUGCUAACCCCACAAUUUUUUACAUCUAGUGUGUUGAUGUUGUGUAUUUAGUAAUUUCUGUCACCCUCCACAUCAUUUUUGAAUAUAAAAUUUAUAUUUUGUUCUUUAAUUUA